GAUGAACGCUGGCGGCGUGCCUAAUACAUGCAAGUCGAGCGAACGGACGAGAAGCUUGCUUCUCUGAUGUUAGCGGCGGACGGGUGAGUAACACGUGGAUAACCUACCUAUAAGACUGGGAUAACUUCGGGAAACCGGAGCUAAUACCGGAUAAUAUUUUGAACCGCAUGGUUCAAAAGUGAAAGACGGUCUUGCUGUCACUUAUAGAUGGAUCCGCGCUGCAUUAGCUAGUUGGUAAGGUAACGGCUUACCAAGGCAACGAAGCAUAGCCGACCUGAGAGGGUGAUCGGCCACACUGGAACUGAGACACGGUCCAGACUCCUACGGGAGGCAGCAGUAGGGAAUCUUCCGCAAUGGGCGAAAGCCUGACGGAGCAACGCCGCGUGAGUGAUGAAGGUCUUCGGAUCGUAAAACUCUGUUAUUAGGGAAGAACAUACGUGUAAGUAACUGUGCACAUCUUGACGGUACCUAAUCAGAAAGCCACGGCUAACUACGUG
rnacentral:rRNA from 1 species